UACGUAGGUGGCAAGCGUUAUCCGGAAUUAUUGGGCGUAAAGAGCGCGCAGGUGGUUGAUUAAGUCUGAUGUGAAAGCCCACGGCUUAACCGUGGAGGGUCAUUGGAAACUGGUCGACUUGAGUGCAGAAGAGGGAAGUGGAAUUCCAUGUGUAGCGGUGAAAUGCGUAGAGAUAUGGAGGAACACCGGUGGCGAAGGCGGCUUUCUGGCCAGUUACUGACGCUCAUGCGCGAAAGCUGGGGUAGCGAACCGGAUUAGAUACCCCGGUA
rnacentral:rRNA from 1 species